rnacentral:sRNA from 1 species
UUUAGUCUUGUCAAAACUAUUUAGCAUUAAAAACUUCUGAGCCCAACGAAUUUUAAAUUUUUUUUAUUCCAAUCUCAAGUGUCAACUUCGCCGAAACCCAGAAAUCAUUUAAUGCAUUUCUCGUCGAUGAACAGCGUACGUACGAACCCGGUUCUUUUGGAUUCCAACGACGCGGUCCGUACGUACAAACCGGGUUCAGUUUCGUCAGGUCGCCAGGGGCAUUUUGGUCAGUUUUUGGCUUAAUGGCUAAUAGCUGAAAGGCCCAGCCCACUUUGUCAAAAUCUGAAAUUAAAAGUGGGUCAAUGGCUACUGUGUGCAAUUUACCCUUCUUGUAAUUGAAUAACCUCAGAAACAGUUUUAUUUGAUCUCUUGCAUUAUUACAUUAGAGUAGAACUUAAGAACAAAGCUUUCUGCUUCCACAAUCAGUUCCAACACUAUCGAUUCUCCUCUCUUCACACAGUUAGCAUUGCAAAACGUUUUCCAACCUCCUACUAAUCUCAUUCUCUUACGGUCCUUUUCAAACCUCAGAUUCGUAGACCAUUUCACAUCAUCUUUAUCCAAGAAACUCAUCUUCUUUGCAUUUUUUAUGCCAUUCACCUCGCCAGUUUGUCAUAACGUAGAC